rnacentral:rRNA from 1 species
UAUCUUACCUGGCGGACGGGUGAGUAACGCGUGAGAAACCUGCCUUUCACAAAGGGAUAGCCUCGGGAAACUGGGAUUAAUACCUUAUGACACUUCAUUACCACAUGGUAAAGAAGUCAAAGCGUAAAGCGGUGAAAGAUGGUCUCGCGUCCCAUUAGUUAGUUGGUGAGGUAACGGCUCACCAAGACUGCGAUGGGUAGCCGGCCUGAGAGGGUGAACGGCCACACUGGAACUGAGACACGGUCCAGACUCCUACGGGAGGCAGCAGUGGGGAAUAUUGCACAAUGGAGGAAACUCUGAUGCAGCGACGCCGCGUGAAUGAUGAAGGCCUUCGGGUCGUAAAAUUCUGUCCUAGGGGAAGAUAAUGACGGUACCCUAGGAGGAAGCCCCGGCUAACUACGUGCCAGCAGCCGCGGUAAUACGUAGGGGGCGAGCGUUGUCCGGAAUUAUUGGGCGUAAAGAGUUCGUAGGCGGUUUUUUAAGUCAGAUGUGAAAGGCUACAGCUUAACUGUGGUAAGCAUUUGAAACUGGAAGACUUGAGUUAAGGAGAGGAAAGUGGAAUUCCUAGUGUAGCGGUGAAAUGCGUAGAUAUUAGGAGGAAUACCAGUGGCGAAGGCGACUUUCUGGACUUAUACUGACGCUGA